CCACUCCCUCCCCCUCCCACACGCCCCACCCCCUGCAGUCCUCCCUCCCUAGGUGGAUAUAAGCCUAGCAGGCUGUAAGCUUGUGGAAGACACACUAACCACAGAGCCUUCCGCAAGACAAUCUGCAGAAGAAACUGUUAUCAGAUUAACCACAACAAAAAUAAAAACUGUUACGGCUCAAAAUGACAGCCAUUUUACCAAAACUUGCAGCGUGCCCAUUGGAAAUUUGGGGGAGGGCUCAGCUGGGCGACUGCCCUGUUUGGUAGAGUCUUCCUUACCAUCACGCUCAUUUAGCUGCUAGGCUGGAAUGGUCUGAAGGAUCCCAGAUGGCUUUUCUCAUGUGGUUGCCUUCCUGGAAGAAAUGUUUGGAGGGCUGAGCUGAACCCCCUUCCUCUCUACAUAAUUUCAGGUGCUAUCUAGUGAUGUAAGACUCUUACAGUGAGAGUUCUAAGAAACAAGAAGUGGAGCCUUCUCAAUCCCUGGGCCUAGAGACAGUCAGCACCACGUCUAACCGCAUUUACUGGUUUUAGCAGGUAUAGAAUCUACCCACGAUCAAGGAAUUGGACCUGUACUUACUUUUCACUGGGAGCACUAUAAAAGUAUUGGAAUAAUUUUUGACUUCUAUGAGCAGUCUCAUUGGAAAUGAAUAGAGG
rnacentral:lncRNA from 1 species